AUUGAACGCUGGCGGCAGGCCUAACACAUGCAAGUCGAGCGAGCGGCGGACGGGUGAGUAAUGUAUGGGGACUGCCCGAUAGAGGGGGAUAACUACUGGAAACGGUGGCUAAUACCGCAUACUAUCGGAUAACCCAUAUGGGAUUAGCUAGUAGGUGGGGUAAAGGCUCACCUAGGCGACGAUCUCUAGCUGGUCUGAGAGGAUGAUCGGCCACAUUGGGACUGAUGCAGGGCGCAGAGUCCUACGGAGGGAGCAGUGGGGAAUAUGGCACAAGGGCAUCAAGCCUGAUGCAGCCAUGCCGCGUGUAUGAAGAAGGCCUUAGGGUUGUAAAGUACUUUAAGCGGGGAGGCGUUACGCGCAGGAGAAGCACCGGCUAAAUCCGUGCCAGCAGCCGCGGUAAUUC
rnacentral:rRNA from 1 species